UCCGUAGCCGGUGCUGGUGCAUCCCUUGUGAAAUUGUUCGGCUUAACCGAACAGCGUGCAGGGGACACGGCCACGCUUGAGACCGGGAGGGGUCAGAAGUAUUCCAUGGGGACCGGUAAAAUGGGAUAAUCCAUGGAAGACUACCGAUGGCGAAGGCAUCUGACCAGAACGGAUCUGACGGUGAGGGACGAAAGCCAGGGGAGCAAACCGGAUUAGAUACCCGA
rnacentral:rRNA from 1 species